rnacentral:tRNA from 1 species
GACCUUGUGGUGUACUGGUAAGCAUACGGGAUUUAAAACCGAGGCUAUGGUUCGAUUCCAUACGUGGUCA